CCUACGGGAGACAGCAGUGGGGAAUAUUGCACAAUGGGGGCAACCCUGAUGCAGCGACGCCGCGUGAGCGAUGAAGUAUUUCGGUAUGUAAAGCUCUAUCAGCAGGGAAGAAAAUGACGGUACCUGACUAAGAAGCCCCGGCUAACUACGUGCCAGCAGCCGCGGUAAUACGUAGGGGGCAAGCGUUAUCCGGAUUUACUGGGUGUAAGGGGAGCGUAGACGGCUGUGCAAGCCAGAUGUGAAAGGCCGGGGCUCAACCCCGAGACUGCAUUUGGAACUGUGUGGCUGGAGUGUCGGAGAGGCAGGCGGAAUGCCUAGUGUAGCGGUGAAAUGCGUAGAUAUUAGGAGGAACACCAGUGGCGAAGGCGGCCUGCUGGACGAUGACUGACGUUGAGGCUCGAAAGCGUGGGGAGCAAACAGGAUUAGAUACCCGGGUAGUC
rnacentral:rRNA from 1 species